AUGCAUCUUGCUGUUUGGGGAUGUUUCUCUAGGAUGAGAAGUGUGCUGAAAGGCAGAGCCAAUGAAAGCCAGCUGCAUUUUACAGGAUAUAUUUGUUACAAGGUUGUUUUGGAAGUUAAUUUUUGCCAUCGGUUGUUUCAGAAGUGCUUGAAAUGUGCUCAAAUGUGAAGAUCUUUAGAAUACAGUAUCUUGCUUUUUUGUUUGUUUUGAGAAAAAGUCAGCUUUAAAACAUUUCCAUCAGAAGCUGCAAGUAUUUGUUUGUGUUGUUAUCAAGCUUAGGAAAUCACCUGAGUGUUUGGAUUGUGUGUGAAAGUAAAAGGAAUUUGUUUCUUGGCAAUAAAUUUA
rnacentral:lncRNA from 1 species